rnacentral:rRNA from 1 species
AUUGAACGCUGGCGGCAUGCCUUACACAUGCAAGUCGAACGGUAACGGGCCUUCGGGUGCCGACGAGUGGCGAACGGGUGAGUAAUACAUCGGAACGUGCCCGAUCGUGGGGGAUAACGAGGCGAAAGCUUUGCUAAUACCGCAUACGAUCUACGGAUGAGAGCAGGGGACCGCAAGGCCUUGCGCGGACGGAGCGGCCGAUGGCAGAUUAGGUAGUUGGUGGGGUAAAAGCUUAACAAGCCGACGAUCUGUAGCUGGUCUGAGAGGUUGAUCAGCCACACUGGGACUGAGACACGGCCCCGACUCAUACGGGAGUCAGCAGUGGGGAAUUUUGGACAAUGGGCGCAAGCCUGAUCCAGCCAUGCCGCGUGCAGGAUGAAGGCCGUCUGGUUGUAAACUGCUUUUGUACGGAACGAAAAGCCUUCUUCUAAUACAGGAGGGUCAUGACGGUACCGUAAGAAUAAGCACCGGCUAACUACGUGCCAGCCGCCGCAGUAA